GCCCCCGUGGUGUAGUGGUAGCACGCGCCUCUGAUAUGGGUGAGACCUAAGUUCAACCAUGUCUUUCUAAGGUGGAAUA